CUUUAAAAUUGUGAACACAGGAUUUUUACUUCUGUGGUGGCGUGGCUUGCUAUUAAAAUGUGGAAAAUACUUUUACACCUUGCGCAAAUUACUGUUGUGGCUGGUUGUCAAGGUUGUCAAGGUCGGGGCGUGUCGGUACAUUGCGGGGACGGCGCCCAUCAGUGGAUGUUUUGCGCUCCGCCGAACAUCACCGUGACAGAGCGAGAGAUUUGACCCCACUGCAAAUUGUAGUACUAAUAGAUGUGAAGAUGCACCUAAAGCUACUUUAAUAAUUAUAUACUUAAAAAAGUGUACAAUGUAAAUUACAUAGAUCUGUCUGGAUCAUUAGAAGGUUUCCCAAACGUUAAUAACCUCAAACACAGUUCUACUACAUUCCGGGAAAUUACAGUUAGAUCUAAGACAUUAUUAAAAGAAGGGAUGUUCUAAAAUGUUAGAAAAUUAUUCAAUUGUAUUGCAGGUAUGUAUAGAACAUACGAGCAUAGACAGCACACAUCUUUCAACAGUCGUCCACCGACCCGACAGUAUGGACACACAUCCUUAAUACAAGUUCCACAGUGGCAGAUAAUGAAGCUAGCUCACUCCAAAACCAUCGCCAUACGUCCAGGAAACGUUCGAUCGAUUCAAAACUUAAAUUUUGGCUCAUGUUCGGUGUGGUUGCUGGAGGGAUAGUCAUUAUCUGCCUUAUAGGACUAAUUACCUACAAUGUUAUCAAUUGUGACUUAAAGGGAUAUGGGAAGAUAAAAGAAUAUGGACGAUCCAAAGGAAAAGGUAAAAAUAAGUACUUUCUGGGCGAAACACCAUCCACUUCAACCCUUUUAUCAGCAGAAGAAGCCUAUGAAAGCGUCUAUGAAAACCAUUAAAAACGUACAGAAAAUAAGAGUUCAGCAACAGUCUUCGUCUACUUCUAAUAUGGAUACUAACAACACAAAUCCAGGGAGUGACAUUCAAAAUAACAAUCAUGAUGUGUGCAACUUUGAUGGAAUAAAUACCAUUAAAAAGAAUGCUGUGAGCUUUAUCGAACAAAACGAUACCGUUACACAAAAUACAGAAACAUCAAAAACGAGACACAAAACGUGUGUGACAAUAAUAUUGGGUGAAGCCAGAUGCCAAAUAGACGAAGAUAGUGACAACACAUAUGACCAUCUUGUGAACACUCCUAGACGUUCUACACGUCUCAGCAGUAAUUUCAGUCACCUCAGUUUUGAAGAUGUAUAGACAAUUUGUGUGGACUUUUGAAUGAUGACAGUGAUCUUAUCUUUUACAAGCUAUGAUUGUAUUAUAUUUUACAUGCUGAUUGAGAACAGUUAAAAUAUUCAAGUUUUCUUUAGAGUUCGAAAUUGUGAGUUCCCAAUGGUAUCAAAUAGUGGAUCGGCCAGUAGGCAAAACAUUGCUUUUAAGACCAAGCCUUUUAAUAUUUGUUAAUACGAAUUUUUUCAAAUAAAGUGUUCGCCUGAC